CCGAGCGGUUAAGAUGACAGCCUUCCGCUCUGGGGGAUCCUGAUCGAAUCCGAACGGGUAGAAAAUGCCGGGAAUUUUCUGGAGAGUUUUCUGUUUCGAUGUGACGUCCCAUGUCCCUUAAUAGUUGUCUGCCCCAUCGUGGACUUAGCCGAAUCCAUAAUGGACAUGUUAAAAAGGUUUUCUUAAAGGCCGAGAAUUAAAAGGUCGUUGCGAGACGGCCGAUGAGUCAACAACAGGAUUUAUGAAGAUAUGAAUGCAGUGAGGUAAUAUCCUCAAAAUAAAUAUGUGAAUCGUUCCGUACCGAAUCAUAAAAUCUGGCAAAACGACAUUCGGAUCGUUUUAGAACUUGUCAAAUUUGAAA